UAUUGCACAAUGGGCGAAAGCCUGAUGCAGCGACGCCGCGUGAGGGAUGACGGCCUUCGGGUUGUAAACCUCUUUCAGUAGGGACGAAGCUUUUGUGACGGUACCUACAGAAGAAGCACCGGCUAACUACGUGCCAGCAGCCGCGGUAAUACGUAGGGUGCGAGCGUUGUCCGGAAUUAUUGGGCGUAAAGAGCUUGUAGGCGGUUUGUCGCGUCUGCUGUGAAAGCCCGGGGCUUAACUCCGGGUCUGCAGUGGGUACGGGCAGACUAGAGUAUGGUAGGGGAGACUGGAAUUCCUGGUGUAGCGGUGGAAUGCGCAGAUAUCAGGAGGAACACCGAUGGCGAAGGCAGGUCUCUGGGCCAUAACUGACGCUGAGAAGCGAAAGCAUGGGUAGCGAACAGG
rnacentral:rRNA from 1 species